GUACCUGGAAUGGCUCUCACUCGAGAGCACGCAGACGGAUCCGUCUCAUGUUCAAUAAUUCUUAUUAAUUGAUUACGACAAACACCGAGAAACGUUCGGGGCGGUUCGUAUGUCGAGCUAGGCGUUUUAUGGAAAGCUAAAAUGCGUUUCCCGAGCACAAGACUCCAUCCUACACUGAAGCUCAAUUCAUUUCCUAGUAGGUUGCGUGAGCGGAUUGGAAGCGGCCGCUCAAAAUCUCCGAGCGAGAAAAAAGAAGCGAGAAAAUCACUUUGACGAGAUUCCUGAGCCAAUUUCGGGUCGAGCUCAGGCUCGAACCGAGCCUAAGGCGUUGAAAUAUCCUUGAAUAGUUCAGGAGAUGUUAGAAAAAGAAACAGGAGAUGGCCUAGGCGGGAGUGGUGGCCUGAAAUUGAGUUACAAGGUCAAGAAACAGACCCUAUUCAGGGUCACUUGGAAUACAAACUGAACGAAAGAAGGACGUAGCGGCUCAGUUCUGAACAGCGACUUCGUUGGCUUAAGUUUAAUUUGAAGACAAGUCUGAGAAACACAAUGCAUAGUUCCCAUUGGUUUGGUGUGUUCAGUGUUCUUUUAUCAGCUAUGAUAAGUGUCUCUUCCACGCAAGAAAGAAGCGAAGAACGAGUGAUUGGUUAUGGCAUGACCAAUUUGGGCCGCACCGUGCUCACAGGAGGAUUGGUUGUUGUCUUGGGGGCCGUGGGUGUGGGGGCCGUCGUAUUAGCGGGGCGUGGAACCCAAGGGGCGAGGGGUGUGACCACCCAACGCCGAGGGCAAAAUCUAGGACCUCAUUGGCAAAAGGACCGCCUAUGUCAACUCCGACCCCUUCUACCUCAAUGUCUAGCCAAGCUGAAAUAAAACUAAUAUAGGCAUGAAGAUGUGUUCGAUUUUGGAGUGUGGAUGAUUUGAGUUCAAGACUAGAUGAGUUGAAAUAUGAAGACGAGAAGGAAACUCGAAGUCGGUGUGCUCCAAUUCCGAAACCAGUUCAGGUGAAUGACCCAAAUCGAGAAGUUGAUUUAUGCUCGGAAGAGAUAACAAGAACGCUUCAGCUAUUCUACUGAGCCAAGCUUUCGUCCGACUGAUACUUAAAUGAUACUGCGUUCGUUAUUGGCCGAUAUGUCCCCGGGAACCGAUCAAGAUCCUGCUAGUUUGGAAGUAUGUCCAAAAAAACCGCAUCACUCUCAAUCGUGCUAAACUUGGAAUUAAUUAGAUCGGAGAUUCCACCUAUUGCUUGACUUUGGCAUUGGGUUCAGGUUUUAUUUAAACGGAAAAGAUUGCCGUGUUAUGUGUAGGUUAUCGGAGACACGACUUUCAGACAGAUUACCCUGCAUAAAGGGGUUAUUUGUAUUCCGCAACUUUUUUUGGCCUUUGAAUUUUUAAUUUAGUCUGGGACAAACCCAAAGAAGACAUCAAUUAUUCUGAUGUCCGUUUUUUCUUCGGCCGAGAAUCAUAAACGGAAGGGUGAUCAAUUGAAAUUAACUUACAUUAUUGGAUUUCUUCGAUUUCAAUCGUCCAAGUACCGAUUCGAACAAUCUCUUUCUAAGCAUUUUGUGCACCCUCCGGCUCAAUCAUAUUUAUCAAUCAAUUCCGAUAUUGAUUUUGGUCCACUCUGGCUAGCUUUUUACUUAUUUAUUUUAGUAGGCUUAUGGAUUUUUGCUAUAUCAAAGAACCAUUUCGACACUCUGCAGUUUGCUGUUUUAGCUUUGAUUUAGAGGUAGGUUUUUGAGAAUUUGCUUCAAAACUCAAAACACUGUUUGAAAUGAACCACUUUAAAAGGGUUUACAUAUGUAUCGUACGUAGCUAGUUCUCGAAAAACAAAUCCCUCCGCAGAAGCAUUUGAACUCAAUUUUAAGGCGACGACGUGAAUUUUCGAUUAAGAAAACAUUUUACCAUAUCAUUACAUAAUUUGGAUCUCUUCUGGAUGUCAGUUUCACUCCCGGGCUUUAUGUAAAAAAAACCUGGGCCCUCGGUUUUACAGCCAUUCUGAAAUCGUUAUUACACAUUGAGCCCCUAGCUCAAAUAGCCCCAUUUUCUUAUCAUUGGAGCGAGACUGACCGGUCAGACCCAGAUUACUUAAAGAAAAAAAAACAAGAAAAAACGCUAGGAUGGUCGAAUGCAUAUGUGCGUUGGUCGAAGUCAUCCACGAUGCCCGCGUUUCACCCGUUGGAAAGUUAGGGCAUAAAUAGAAACCUGAUCUUGAGCAGUUCUCAGUUGCCUCCGAGACCUCCACCAUGAAAGUUUUCGAAUCGACCUUUUCCCUGUUCUUGGGCGCCGUGGUGGCUGUUCAGGGCGUGCCACAAUACUUUUACGCCUAUCCAGGGACGUUUCCUUCGUUUCAACCCAAUGGGUUGAAAUUCAGCCACACUCCACAACAAUUCGGCCACACUCCGCAACAGUUUGGCAAUAUCCGUCAUUCCGCACAAGAGGCCAAUUGCCGGAUAGAAAUGGAGCCAAUCGCUCACCAGCAAUGCCAAACCAAGAUCGAACAGGAAUGUGAGACCGGUAAGAGCCAUAGGAAUUAAUUGAUCUGAGAAUAAGUGGCCCUACGUGUCAACGAU